rnacentral:sRNA from 1 species
UGUUCAGUACACAUUUGAGAGAAGGGAGAAUGUACUACUCAUCACCUCCCACCUGUGAAAGCCCCUCUUAAGACAAAGAAGAAAACAACAAAUCAUUGUUUUCUUUGUGGAAAGAAAACAGGACUGGCUAGUAGCUACGAAUGCAGGCAGGUUGGCGAGCUGGAGAAGCUCAGAUGCUUUCUCUGUGGUAACCCAGCUUGGGGAUUAUGCAAAAUAAAAUAUUUAAAUUGCCUGUUUAUAACAUCAUUAAGAUGAUGUUCAAUAGCUAUCUUCAGUUGAACUUCUAAUUGGCUGAAGUAAAGAACAAGUAGAUAGCUCAUGGGUUUCCAAAAGACAAAAACAGAUCCUUCCUUGUCCUUUAAGUUAGGAGGUUUAAACCAAUCUGAGAGUGUACCUUUUUCGUCUUACGAUGAACCUGCUUGGAUUUUGUUUGAGUGGCACCUUGGAAGAACCCCUCCCUGAAUAUUCUAUUAAAAAUUUAAUAAAAAAAUUAAAAGUUAAUAUAAAAUAGAUGAAUAAUA